rnacentral:rRNA from 1 species
CAGUCGCCGCGGAAUACGAAGGGUGCAAGCGUUAAUCGGAAUUACUGGGCGUAAAGCGUGCGUAGGCGGUUUGUUAAGUCUGCUGUGAAAUCCCCGGGCUCAACCUGGGAAUGGCAGUGGAUACUGGCAAGCUAGAGUGUGUCAGAGGAUGGUGGAAUUCCCGGUGUAGCGGUGAAAUGCGUAGAGAUCGGGAGGAACAUCAGUGGCGAAGGCGGCCAUCUGGGACAACACUGACGCUGAGGCACGAAAGCGUGGGGAGCAAACAGGAUUAGAUACCCCGGUAGUCCCUGUCUCUUAUACA